GACGAACGCUGGCGGCGUGCUUAACACAUGCAAGUCGAACGGAAAGGCCCUGCUUUUGUGGGGUGCUCGAGUGGCGAACGGGUGAGUAACACGUGAGUAUCCUGCCCUUGACUUUGGGAUAACUUCAGGAAACUGGGGCUAAUACCGGAUAUGAUCUCCUGCUGCAUGGUGUGGGUUGGAAAGUUUCGGCGGUUGGGGAUGGACUCGCGGCUUAUCAGCUUGUUGGUGGGGUAGUGGCUUACCAAGGCUUUGACGGGUAGCCGGCCUGAGAGGGUGACCGGCCACAUUGGGACUGAGAUACGGACCAGAAUCCAACGGGAGGCAGCAGUGGAGAAUAUUGCACAAUGGGCGGAAGCCUGAUGCAGCAACGCCGCGUGCGGGAUGACGGCCUUCGGGUUGUAAACAGCUUUCGAAUGUGACGAAGCGUGAGUGACGGUAAUGGGUAAAGAAGCACCGGCUAACUACGUG
rnacentral:rRNA from 1 species